GAUGAACGCUGGCGGCGUGCCUAAUACAUGCAAGUCGAGCGAACGGACGAGAAGCUUGCUUCUCUGAUGUUAGCGGCGGACGGGUGAGUAACACGUGGAUAACCUACCUGUAAGACUGGGAUAACUUCGGGAAACCGGAGCUAAUACCGGAUGAUAUUUUGAACCGCAUGGUUCAAAAGUGAAAGACGGUCUUGCUGUCACUUAUAGAUGGAUCCGCGCUGCAUUAGCUAGUUGGUAAGGUAACGGCUUACCAAGGCAACGAUGCAUAGCCGACCUGAGAGGGUGAUCGGCCACACUGGAACUGAGACACGGUCCAGACUCCUACGGGAGGCAGCAGUAGGGAAUCUUCCGCAAUGGGCGAAAGCCUGACGGAGCAACGCCGCGUGAGUGAUGAAGGUCUUCGGAUCGUAAAACUCUGUUAUUAGGGAAGAACAUAUGUGUAAGUAACUGUGCACAUCUUGACGGUACCUAAUCAGAAAGCCACGGCUAACUACGUG
rnacentral:rRNA from 1 species